ensembl:lncRNA
ACCAAUGUAUGUACCAUAAAUCUCUAAAUGUAGUUUUAAUUUUGUGAAAAAUCAAGUGAACACAUUUAUUUUUUUAAACCUUUAUUUAACUAGGCAAGUCAGUUAAGAACAAAUUCUUAUAUUCAAUGACUGCCUAGUGGGUUAACUGCUUUGUUCAGGGGCAGAACGACAGAUUUUUACCUUGUCAGCUCGGGAAUUCGAUCUAGCAACCUUUCGGUUACUGGCCCAACACUCUAACCACUAGGCUACUUGCCGCCCCCUCUAACCACAAGGCUACCUGUCGUCGCCCCCUCUCUAACCACUAGGCUACCUGCCUGCCGCCCCUACAGUCAUAUGCCCCUACAGUCCUUGUAGGCUUACUACAUGUUAUUUAUCUGAUAUACUAAAUGCCUGUGGAGAUUUUGGUGAAACGCUACCAUGUUCACCAAGAAUAACACCCUACUGAAGGUUUAGAAGCCCUGAGGUCUGAAGGUUAAGCCUUGAAGGUUUAGAAGCCCCGAGGGUUUAGAAGCCCUGAGGUCUGAAUACACAUUUUUCAUGAACAAUAAACUGAAGUACUCUUGACUGAAAGAGCUAUGUUCUGUGUGUGUGUAUGUAUGUAUACACACCAGCCCUUACUAUGCCAGUCCUCAUUACCCACAGGGCUCAAUUAACACUUAAGCCUGCUAACAGCCUGCGAAGCUGUAAAAUAACAAAAUGGAAAACAGCUAUAAAUUCACCUCCUAAUUGUCUUGCCUUCUACUUGACUCCAUUCGCUUCAUUGGACUCCUAAAAUAAAUGUAAGAUUCUGUGCCUUGUGGCAGAAAAACAUCAAGCCAUGGUCCCAAUAAUCUCUCCUUCCUCCUCAUGUGUUCCCUCGUUCACUACUC